GGGAAUUAGCUCAGCUGGUAGAGCACUUGGUUCGCAAUCAAGGGGUCGUCGGUUCGAAUCCGAUAUUCUCC
rnacentral:tRNA from 1 species